rnacentral:rRNA from 1 species
UACGUAGGGUGCGAGCGUUAAUCGGAAUUACUGGGCGUAAAGCGUGCGCGGGCGGUUUUGUAAGCCAGAUGUGAAAUCCCCGGGCUUAACCUGGGAAUGGCAUUUGGGACUGCACGGCUAGAGUGUGUCAGAGGGGGGUAGAAUUCCACGUGUAGCAGUGAAAUGCGUAGAGAUGUGGAGGAAUACCGAUGGCGAAGGCAGCCCCCUGGGAUAACACUGACGCUCAUGCACGAAAGCGUGGGGAGCAAACAGG